rnacentral:rRNA from 1 species
CUACUCUUGACAUCCACGGAAUUCGCCAGAGAUGGCUUAGUGCCUUCGGGAACCGUGAGACAGGUGCUGCAUGGCUGUCGUCAGCUCGUGUUGUGAAAUGUUGGGUUAAGUCCCGCAACGAGCGCAACCCUUAUCCUUUGUUGCCAGCACGUAAUGGUGGGAACUCAAAGGAGACUGCCGGUGAUAAACCGGAGGAAGGUGGGGAUGACGUCAAGUCAUCAUGGCCCUUACGAGUAGGGCUACACACGUGCUACAAUGGCAUAUACAAAGAGAAGCGAACUCGCGAGAGCAAGCGGACCUCAUAAAGUAUGUCGUAGUCCGGAUUGGAGUCUGCAACUCGACUCCAUGAAGUCGGAAUCGCUAGUAAUCGUAGAUCAGAAUGCUACGGUGAAUACGUUCCC